rnacentral:rRNA from 1 species
UACGGAGGGUGCAAACGUUGCUCGGAAUCAUUGGGCGUAAAGCGCACGUAGGCGGUCCGGUAAGUCGGAUGUGAAAUCCCUCGGCUCAACCGAGGAAGUGCAUUCGAAACUGCCAGACUUGAAUAUGGAAGAGGGUCGCGGAACUCCGAGUGUAGAGGUGAAAUUCGUAGAUAUUCGGAAGAACACCAGUGGCGAAGGCGGCUCACUGGCCCGGUACUGACGCUGAGGUGCGAAAGCGUGGGGAGCAAACAGG